rnacentral:lncRNA from 1 species
GAAUUGAUGUUAGGUCCAAGCACCAGGAAUGUUUAUAGAUUAGUUGAGAAAGAUAUCUUUGGAGAUGCUGAAAUUAGAGAGAGAAAGCAGAUCCCUACAACCAAUUCUUAUCGGUUUAAUGCUACUAAAACAGCCAAAAUCCUUAACAUUCAGGUAAUGGAGAUCAUUUCAUUUUUAUGUACCGAUAACAAAUGUGGUUCUCUUGUGCUUUCGAACAAUUAAACAGUAUUUUGGUUAUCCUUGAUGAAGCUGCUAUAGCUGCGGUUAUGAAUGCUGACGAUUGGAAAGCAUAGCUAUGAGGCAAUUUCAGACAGAGGAUAACAAAUGGGAUGUAUUUGUUACCUUAAUUGUUAUAAAUUUGACCGUUAUUACAAAAACAUUGCUGCCAGCAAAUUAUUGUCAGUUCAUGUUGACUUGCUAGAAAUUUUUGAAUGUAUAUGACGUGAUACACACCCAUGAUGCCUUUAAGAUAAAUUCACUAAUAAAUAAUUAAGCUUAUGAGAAAAAGGAUUUUUAUUAUAUGGUGAUAUUUUACAAUGUCAUGCACGUUGAUGAUGCUUUUAGAUAAUCACAAAUCUUAGAUGAUAUUUACAAAUUUUAUAUGCGUAUAUUACAUUUGGUAUGCUAAAAGAAUAAUAGAAUAUUGAUUUGUGAGUACUUGUUACUUUAUCUCAAAAGUGAUUCAGAAUAUUGCCUUGUAUAUUAGCAUGUAUUUGGAUGAUCCUCUGAAGUUUGAAGAUUAAUUUUUUGUUAUUUGAGUUAGAUAUAUCAUCGUACUAAAUAAAAGAGGGAAUCAGGCCUUCAAUGUUCAUUCUUAUGGUUCCCUUUUUCACACCUGAUUUUUUUCUACCAUUCAUAAAUUGGUUCAAACGGGAGUGUAUUAAAUGCUCCCUUACGGAAAUCUUUUCUCACACGCCUCUCUAAUGCUACAAGAUGGAAAGUAGUGCUAACCUUUCCUUUUCCCUUUCCUUGUGGCGGAUUUCCAAAGAGACUCGUGGUCUCCUCAAGAUCUUGGAGAAGAAGCAAUGGAAUCAUUGCAUCAUUCUUUGAUUCGCAAUCGGCUUCUCGGAACAGUUGGAGUUACGACUCUCUCAAGAAUUUCCAUCUAAUUUUCCCUACUGUUUAGACCCAUCUCAAGCAAGUUUAUUUUAUCAAUUCAUGAACAUCUUCUUCAUGAUUCUUGGGAAAGAAUUGAUAGUUUCAUGAUAAGAAUUGAAUAUUUUUUGCCCCCCUUUUACCCCUUUUCAGCUUAAAGUGUAGGAAUAUUAUGGUCUCUCCCUUAUCACUUCCAAACAAAUUGCGUCGAGAAGAAUUCUUAUUUUUUUUUAGGCGGUGUAUGGCGGUGAUUUUUGUUAUAAGAUCAAGCAUGUGCUAGAGCCUUUUAGCUCGGGUGAGCUCUCUUAAGCCGAUUACAUCUAGAUCCACCGAGUCAACAUGAAGAACAAUUCUAGCCUCGAAGGUCUCAUGAAGGUGGCAGAUCUUGUAAUCCUCCAACUCGUUGAUCGAAUUUUUCCUAUAUCGGUUUUGUUAGAUUAUUCAGUUUCUGUGCUUUAUUUUUUAUUUAUUUUCUACUCUACUUGUUCUAUUAAAUUUCUACUAUGAAGGGAUUAAUAUUGAGCAAUUGUAGGUUGCAACGAGAUUGUCUAAGGACGAGAAGUUUCAACAACUUUCCAUGUAGCACUAGCUUGAAGCUGUAAGUCUCUGAACCAUAUAAGUGAUUCUUACAUUUGGGAUUUGCUAUUAUCCAAAUUUUAGCUUCCAUUCAUUCUGAAGUGUAAAGUAUUUUUGCAGUGGACAAACUUAUAAAAAAUGCUUUUAUCAUUGGUUUUACCCACUCUUAGUGAGAAGACAAAUCUGAACCAUCGAUAUAUUUGCUUGAAAAUGGUCUGUGAUAUUAAUUAUCAUUAUUUACUGUAGAUUGAUCCACACCGUAGGUAUUGGCACAAUUUACAUCUCUAUUGCAAUAUCUGGUUCAAAAGAGAGGCUACAACAUUUCUUUUACUGUGAGCACCCAACUAACUAUUUUAGAUUGAUACCUUAUUUGGUUUGACGUUUGGGAAACAAUUAUGGGAGUAGAAACUUAUAACUAUUAGAAAUACAAUCAAAACUUUCUCCUUUUUUUUUUGAUAUUUUAAUGAACAAAAUAUUUCUUACUGACUUGUUCUUGCAACAUUUGUUCUUUAAUGUAAAGGUUGGAUGUUAGAGAUGGAAAAGAACUAAAUUUAGAGAAGUGCUCAGGGGACAAUUUGCAAUGGCAAUGCAUCAAAUAUCUGGGACCAGCAAGUUUCAAGUCAUUGAAGAGCAUUAGCAAUCUCAAGAGUAGACAUUGCACUUGAAUUUAUUUUUUCAAAUAAUGUAAAGUGCUAAACUAAUUAUAGUACAUUAGCUAGCAUUCUCAUGAACACAAAUUAUCAUUCCUCCAGCAGAAAGAGUGAAAUCAUAUGAAGUCGUGGUUGAAAAUGGGAAGCUUGUGUACAAACAGAGUGGUUACACUGUGGACACAAUUGAAGGUUCAAAAUGUAUUGUUCAUCCAAUUGAACCCGUAUAAGAAAGGUAUUUUUGUUUUAUCAAAUUUGAGAUUUUCCGUUUUUCUUUCCCAACAGUAAUGAACUUGAAUUACAAUAAUCAGUAGUCAUCGAUGGUAUUGAAGUU